rnacentral:snoRNA from 14 species
UUUGGGAUAUGAUGAUAAUAAUGCUGACAGAGGCACUAGCUGUUCUGAAACAAAAAUAUUUGCACGUCAGUCUGAUCCUAAA